rnacentral:lncRNA from 1 species
GAAAGUUUCAGGUAUAAAUGAUGCAAAAUACAGCAAUUUAUGGCUUACUUGACGCAAAAGAAAGCUCACAAACGAGAUGGAAAGGAGCUGGACGCAUAAAGGACUAAAUCUGCUGCAUGGAAAAUCUGUCCCGGGCUAAAACAGCAUUUCUGAAGACUUUGGGACUUACAGACACAAAGCUGGAUUUUUGCCAUAAUACAUUAACCUAGUGCAAUUAGGUUAUGUGUUUCAUCAUUCUAUUUGGAUUAUAAUUUUGUAACCUUACCCUAGUACAAUUGGGUCAAGGAUUUCAUUAGUAUAUUAGGAUUUGGUUAUUUAUUUUAUUAGUUUAGUAGGAGUAGGAUAGGAGUAUUAUAAAUACCCUAUCAUGUUAGAGAUUUUAAAGAGGGGGAGGAGACAUUCUGACAAUUCAUUCAUCUCCUUACAAUUAAGACAUCUUCCUACAACCCAUUCUCAAUUCUUCAUUCUUCUACUCUUAAAUUCCACAACAAGAGAAUCGUUACUUGCUACGGAAUCACUAAAACCACACGCCAAACACCUACUAUUCACGCCAUCCACCAUGCAAAACGUGAUAUCCUUCGCAUUCAUGGGUAACUAAAUCUCUUAGUUGGGGUUAUGGAAGCCGAAUGAGUUACUAUCUAUAGCUAUGAGUUUGUGAGUUCAAGACAAGUAUAUUGCUUAUAUCAUUAUUCUCUUCAUCUUAAAUCUACAUUCUUUGCGGUUCAAACACAAGAACACGCCAUUCUAACAUCUAACCUGUUCGAGAGAAAGGUUAUUUGUCUAGAAAAGAAGACGC